AUCCUUGGGAUACCACCCUUGUAGUACUGGGACUCUAACCAUAGGCCAUGAAUCUGGUCUUGGGACACUGUCAGGUGGGCAGUUUGACUGGGGCGGUCGCCUCCCAAAAGGUAACGGAGGCGCUCAAAGGUUCUCUCAGUACGGUCGGAAAUCGUACGUAGAGUGUAAAGGCAAAAGAGAGCUUGAUUGCAAGACAUACAGGUCGAGCAAGGAUGAAAAUCGGACUUAGUGAUCCGGUGGUUCUGCGUGGAAGGGCCAUCGCUCAACGGAUAAAAGCUACCCUGGGGAUAACAGGCUUAUCUCCCCCAAGAGUCCACAUCGACGGGGAGGUUUGGCACCUCGAUGUCGGCUCAUCACAUCCUGGGGCUGUAGUAGGUCCCAAGGGUUGGGCUGUUCGCCCAUUAAAGUGGUACGCGAGCUGGGUUCAGAACGUCGUGAGACAGUU
rnacentral:rRNA from 1 species